GCACAAGCGGUGGAGCAUGUUGGUUUAAUUCGAAGCAACGCGAAGAACCUUUACCAGGUCUUGACGUCCCGAUGCUAUUUCUAGAGAUAGAAAGUUACUUCGGUACAUCGGUGACAGGUGGUGCAUGGUUGUCGUCAGCUCGUGUCGUGAGAUGUUGGGUUAAGUCCCGCAACGAGCGCAACCCCUACGUUUAGUUGCUAACAGGUGAAGCUGAGCACUCUAGACGAACUGCCGUUGACAAAACGGAGGAAGGUGGGAUGACGUCAAAUCAUCAUGCCCCUUAUGUUCUGGGCUACACACGUGCUACAAUGGCCGGUACAGACGGAGGCGAAGCCGCGAGGCGGAGCAAAUCCGAAAAAGCCGGUCUCAGUUCGGAUUGCAGGCUGCAAUUCGCCUGCAUGAAGUCGGAAUCGCUAGUAAUCGCAGGUCAGCAUACUCGCGGUCGAAUACGUUCCGGCCUU
rnacentral:rRNA from 1 species